GAUGAAGAACGUAGCGAAAUGCGAUAAGUAAUGUGAAUUGCAGAAUUCAGUGAAUCAUCGAAUCUUUGAACGCACAUUGCGCCCCCUGGUAUUCCGGGGGGCAUGCCUGUCCGAGCGUCAUUACAACCCUCAAGCUCAGCUUGGUGUUGGGCCCCGCCGCCCCGGCGGGCCCUAAAGUCAGUGGCGGUGCCGUCCGGCUCCGAGCGUAGUAAUUCUUCUCGCUCUGGAGGUCCGGUCGUGUGCUCGCCAUCAACCCCCAAUUUUUUUCAGGUUGACCUCGGAUCAGGUAGGGAUACCCGCUGAACUUAAGCAUAUCAAUAAGCGGAGGA
rnacentral:misc_RNA from 1 species